GCAAGCCCCAAGCUUGCCCAUCUGGGCAGAGGGAUCCUCCUCAGAUCAUCCCUGGAAAAACUGAAGUCAUAUGAAAGCAAACCACACCCAGCCUGGUUUUGAUCACUUGGCAUCCUCAGAGCCCAGCUCCUCAAAGUAAAUAUUUCCUAUGAAGAUCAUGAAGGGUGCGACCAGCAUGUAAGGAACAGCAAGAGGAAAGUACAGCUUUAAACCUAAUCCCACAUCAUGCUGCAUUCAUUAAGGACUUGCCAUUGGAGCUGGACUAGGAAUACAUCCAAAUGCACGGAGCACAAGGAUGUUCCAGUGUGUUAAAUGCUUCUGAAGCAGUACAAUUAACCCCCCCCCCCCCCCGCCCCGAAGUGCGAUGUGUGGCAAAGGUGGCAGCAGCUGCUGCCUGUGCAGUCACUGAUACCUUUUCAGGUGGGCACAGGAAGGCAGGAGGGGCUGAGAGUUUGUGUUCUGCUCACAAGCAAGCCCCAAGCUCACUGGCAAGAUAUCCCACAUGGGCACACAUGAGAUAGCUUGGAUUGGAUGAUGAUAUGGACAGAGGAAUUGAGUGUGCCCUCAGCAA